rnacentral:rRNA from 1 species
AUUGAACGCUGGCGGCAGGCCUAACACAUGCAAGUCGAGCGGAGCGGCGGACGGGUGAGUAAUGCCUAGGAAUCUGCCUGGUAGUGGGGGAUAACGUCCGGAAACGGGCGCUAGUACCGCACACUAUCAGAUGAGCCUAGGUCGGUUUCGCUAGAUGGGGGGGUAAAGGCGUACUAGGGCGACGAUCCGUAACUGGGCUGAGCGGCUGAACAGUCACACUGGAACUGAGACACGGUCCAGCGUCCUACGCGAGGCAGCAGUGGGGAAUUGUGGACUAUGGGCGAAUGCCUGAUCGAGCCAUGCCGCGUGUGUGAAGAAGGGCUUCGGAUUGUAGAGCUCUUUAAGUUGGGAGGCGUUACCAACAGAAUAAGCACCGGCUAACUACGUGCCAGCAGCCGCGGUAAUAC